rnacentral:lncRNA from 1 species
GGAGUCUUCUCUUAUCCAGGCUAAACGUCUCCAUCUCUCUCAGCCUUUCUGUGUAGGAGAAACAUGUUCCAGCACUAUGGUCAAUUUCACGAUCCUCCUCUGGACCUGCUUAAUAGGAGAAGACUGCUUUGAGAUGAACAAACUGGCUUGUAACUAGAAAAUAUUUGCUUUUCCUGAAA